GUGCUAGCUUUGGCAGCACACAUACUAAAAUUGGAACAAUAUAGAGAAGAUUAGCAUGGCCCCUGUGCAAGGAUGACACUCAAAUUUGUGAAGCAUUCCAUAUUUUU
rnacentral:snRNA from 1 species